CUACGGGUUGCACCAGUGAGGAAUAUUGCACAAUGGGGGGAACCCUGAUGCAGCAACGCCGCGUGGAGGAUGACGCAUUCGGUGUGUAAACUCCUUUUAUAUGUCAAGAAAAUGACGGUAGCAUAUGAAUAAGCACCGGCUAACUCCGUGCCAGCAGCCGCGGUAAUACGGAGGGUGCAAGCGUUACUCGGAAUCACUGGGCGUAAAGGACGCGUAGGCGGGUUGGAAAGUCAGGUGUGAAAUCCUACAGCUUAACUGUAGAACUGCACUUGAAACUUCUAAUCGAGAGUAUGGGAGGGGGAGAUGGAAUUAGUGGUGUAGGGGUAAAAUCCGUAGAUAUCACUAGGAAUACCUAAAGCGAAGGCGAUCUCCUGGAACAUUACUGACGCUAAGGCGUGAAAGCGUGGGGAGCAAACAGGAUUAGAUACCCGCGUAGUC
rnacentral:rRNA from 1 species